AGUGAACGCUGGCGGUAGGCCUAACACAUGCAAGUCGAACGGCAGCACAGUAAGAGCUUGCUCUUACGGGUGGCGAGUGGCGGACGGGUGAGGAAUACAUCGGAAUCUACUUUUUCGUGGGGGAUAACGUAGGGAAACUUACUCUAAUACCGCAUACGACCUACGGGUGAAAGCAGGGGAUCUUCGGACCUUGCGCGAUUGAAUGAGCCGAUGUCGGAUUAGCUAGUUGGCGGGGUAAUGGCCCACCAAGGCGACGAUCCGUAGCUGGUCUGAGAGGAUGAUCAGCCACACUGGAACUGAGACACGGUCCAGACUCCUACGGGAGGCAGCAGUGGGGAAUAUUGGACAAUGGGCGCAAGCCUGAUCCAGCCAUACCGCGUGGGUGAAGAAGGCCUUCGGGUUGUAAAGCCCUUUUGUUGGGAAAGAAAAGCAGCAGGUUAAUACCCCGCUGUUCUGACGGUACCCAAAGAAUAAGCACCGGCUAACUUCGUG
rnacentral:rRNA from 1 species